GCUAAAAAUCUAGCUCUACCCCCACCCCAUGUAAUUUCCAUCACAACAGCCACCAAAAUAAAACAUUUUAACUUUUUAGUAAAGGAGAUUGAAAAACUUUUAUGAAGCAAUAAAACUAGUACCGCAAGGGAAAGAUGAAAUAUAAAUGAAAAUUUUUAAGCAAUAAAAAGUAGAGAUUUACCCUCGUACCUUUUGCAUCAUGGUUCAACUAGUCCAACCAAGCAAAAAGUAUUACAGUUUGACUCCCCGAAACUAGACGAGCUACUUCAGGGCAGCUUUAUGAGCCAACCCGUCUCUGUCGCAAAAGAGUGGGAAGACCCCCAAGUAGCGGCGACAUACCUAACGAGCCUAGUGAUAGCUGGUUAUUCGAGAAAAGGAUUUAAGUCCAACCUAAAAUCUACCCAUUACACUAAAAACACUAUGAUUCUAGAGAAAUUCAAAUAAGGUACAGCCUAUUUGAAACAGGAUACAACCUCACCUGAUGGGUAAAAUACAUUCUUAUACUCCAAGUAGGCCUAAAAGCAGCCAUCUUUUUAAAAGCGUCACAGCUUAACCUUAUUAAACCAUUAAUUCCACCACCCUACUUUAACCCUCUCUAAGUAUCGAAUAAUCCUAUACCCCUAUAGAAAAUCUUAUGUUGGAACUAGUAACAAGAAGAAUGAACUUCUCUUAAAUGCAAGCAUAAUUCAGAAAGGACAAACCACUGAUAAUUAACGCCUUUGAUUAUUAAUCAGCAACCUCCCAAGAAAAACCUUAUUUUUCCCGCGUUAACCUGACACAAGAGCAUUUCAAGAAAGAUUAAAAGAAAGAGAAGGAACUCGGCAAAUAUUAACCCCGCCUGUUUACCAAAAACAUCGCCUCUUGAAUAAAAAUAAGAGGUCCAGCCUGCCCAGUGACAAAUGUUCAACGGCCGCGGUAUCCUAACCGUGCGAAGGUAGCGUAAUCACUUGUUCUUUAAAUGAGGACUAGUAUGAAUGGCACCACGAGGGUUAUACUGUCUCCUCUAUCCAAUCAGUGAAACUAAUCUCUCCGUGAAGAAGCGGAGAUACAUCUAUAAGACGAGAAGACCCUAUGGAGCUUUAAAUUUCCCCUCAAACGCCAGACCUCUUAAACAAGUCACUAACUUUACUACAUUAACCUUAACGUUAUUGAGGGCGACUUUUAGGUUGGGGUGACCGCGGAGCACAAAUAAACCUCCAUGUUGAACAGGCCUCUAAACCUUGAGCAAAGGGCUACGACCCGAUGCACUAAAAAAUUAACACCUAUUGACCCAAUACACCCUUGAUCAACGAACCAAGUUACCCUAGGGAUAACAGCGCAAUCUACUUCAAGAGUCCCUAUCGACAAGUGGGUUUACGACCUCGAUGUUGGAUCAGGGUAUCCCAGUGGUGCAGCCGCUACUAAGGUUCGUUUGUUCAACGA
rnacentral:rRNA from 1 species